rnacentral:lncRNA from 1 species
GCCUCACACGGUCCUCGGAUUUCAACCCUGUAGUGGGGAAAGCCUAGACGUCCCAAAUGGAUAUUGUUGCCACUGAUGCUUAUUUCACAGCUUGUUUCCACACCUGGGCACCAUGGCUCAACUACAAUGGCUACGGAUGGAUUCCUUUUUUAAAACAUGAUGAACGUUGAAGAAGAAGAAAAAUGGCACUCAUAUGGCAAAUUAGUUAAUUGAUAUGGUCUAAUGAUCA